rnacentral:snoRNA from 1 species
CCAUCAGUUUGGUACAUCCUUACUUAUUCCUCUUUUUUUUUUUUUUUUUUUUUUUUGGAGAGGGGUAAAUGAUGAUUGGAGCUUGAUUAGUCUCUCUGCAGCAGCUUGGAGAUUGGCAACAAACUCCUUGUUGCUCCUUUCUGAU